GGGGGUGACUGGAUUCGACGCCGGUUACAAAACUUUUACUGCAUGCCGAGAUGGCGACCAAUCUCGUAAAUCCAAAGUCGCAAACUUAUAGUUGCCAACGACGACAACUACGCGCUCGCUGCCUAAACACCAGUAGAACGCCAUCUGACUGGAGCCGUGCUUAUGCGUCCAGCGCUUCAUCUACCUCCGGGUAGCGGCGAAGCACUCAGGUGUCAUACUUCAUAAGAUCGCGCUGAAACUUGUUCGGGGUGGACGCGUUAAAACCUUACCGAAAUCGCCACUUCAUGCACCCUGUUGGCCGGGUUGUGAAGGGCUAAAAUGAAUAGACCAAACUAAGCAUGUAGAGGUAAAAGCAGCGGACUGACGGACGGGGGUUCAACUCCCCCCACCUCCACCA
rnacentral:tmRNA from 1 species